rnacentral:rRNA from 1 species
UACGGAGGGGGCUAGCGUUGUUCGGAAUUACUGGGCGUAAAGCGCGCGUAGGCGGACCUGCAAGUCGGGGGUGAAAGCCCGAGGCUCAACCUCGGAACUGCCUUCGAUACUGCGGGUCUCGAGUCCGGGGGAGGUGAGUGGAAUUCCUAGUGUAGAGGUGAAAUUCGUAGAUAUUAGGAAGAACACCAGUGGCGAAGGCGGCUCACUGGCUCGGUACUGACGCUGAGGCGCGAAAGCGUGGGGAGCAAACAGG